GUCAGCUGGGGCUGCAUCAUCUGAAGGUUCGAUUGUGGCCGGAGGCUCCAUUUCUCAGGUGGGACGGUCCCAUGGCUGCCAGGUUGGUGGUGGCUCUUGGCAGGAGGCCUCAGUUUCUCUCCAUGGUGUCUCCAUGGAGAUGUUUAUGUGACCUCACAACAUGGUGGCUGGUUUCUCCCAGAGCAAGUGAUCAGAGAAUGAGGUUAGGCCGUGAUGCAUCUUAUGACCUCACCCUGGAAGUCACAAACUCCCACUGUGCUCUACUGGUCACUGAGGCCAGUCCUGAUUCAGCGUGAGGGGAACCACGCAGGAGGCCAGGAUCCUCGGGAUCCCCCUUGGAGCUGGCCACCAGGCACAUUUCCCCCCUCAGGACUCAGCAAGAACUACAUACAGUCUUUACAUGCAGUUUCUCUAUGUCCCCAUGAAAUGACCACGAGAGGCAGGUUGUCUCAAACCCACAUGGGCCCCAGGGGAACCAAAGUGCCAAGAAAGCAGAAAACAUGGCCAAAUUCAUACAGAUGAGGGUGGAGGGGUGGAGUCGGGGUUGGGAGCUAGGUCUCCCAGGUCACCACCCCACUCCUGUGCUCACAGGAGACAUCACUAAUGGUCCAAGGACACUUCCCUCUCAGCCCGAAUGUACCCUCAGAACUCAGGAGAAAGUUCCGGGCAGUCACCACCAAUCAGUAAGACCAUAGGCUCCAAGAGGACAGGGACCCCCGUGUGGUCCAAGGCAACACUGAGUCCCCAGCACGUAGCACGGUGUAUGGCACCUGUAACGAUUCAUGGAAGGCAGGGCCCGAGGGAGGGAGGGAGGACCUGUGGCAGAGUUAGCUGUCUUCCAAAGUUAAUUUUCUUUUUCACGGGUCCUACAGCUACCCGGCCUGCUUUGGGAAUGGUUGUUGUGGGGUGACUGACUGUCCCCAGUGCAGCAGGAGCAGAGAAAAGGUUGCAGAUCCUUGGCACAGAGGAACUUGCUCCCAGCUCCUGUGUCUCUGCCGCGGUGACUUUGGAAGGAAGGACACCUGGAUGACCCAGGGCCCAGCCCUGGAUACAGCACCAAAGGAGCCCUUAAGGCAGGUAAGGGCUGGAACAAAUGCCCCUUCCAGAGGGGAGAUGCCACAACCCCGGGGGCUCCCUCGCCCCCUUCCCCGAUCAGAGGGCAUGUGCGUGCA